GCCUGGGUGGCUCAGUUGGUUGAGCAUCUGACUUCUGCUCAGGGUUCGAGGGUUCGAGCCCCGCGUCAGGCU